UACGUAGGGUGCAAGCGUUGUCCGGAAUUAUUGGGCGUAAAGAGCUCGUAGGCGGUUUGUCGCGUCUGCUGUGAAAACUCAGGGCUUAACCCUGAGCUUGCAGUGGGUACGGGGAGACUAGAGUGCGGUAGGGGAGACUGGAAUUCCUGGUGUAGCGGUGAAAUGCGCAGAUAUCAGGAGGAACACCGGUGGCGAGGGCGGGGCUCUGGGCCGAUACUGACGCUGAGGCGCGAAAGCGUGGGGAGCGAACAGG
rnacentral:rRNA from 1 species